CUAGAAUUCCAUUCCUCAGCGUGGAAGAGCUGUACCCUCAUCCUUAAAGUCCCCGUCUUGAGCUCACAUCCCGCUCCCAGAACUCUCUCCAAGUCACAACUACAGUACUACAUAGGGGCGAAGGGCUUUGGACGGCACCUAGAGAAUACAAACCACUCUCAUGAGGACAGAGGACGUUGAAGUGAGGGAGAGAGGUGUAUAGAGCCCAGCCUCUGCCUGAAGGAGCUUCCAGACUGAAUCAUCUCCCACUUUGUGAGAAGGAUGACUUUCAGGACCAUUGUGGAGUGAAGAGGCCAUGACUAUCUCCUAAGGAAGAGCCAGAAGACCACAUCUGAAUUCACUGAAGGAUGGGAGAACUCACCCAGAACUCAGGGCAAACAGGAUGUGGAGAGUCAGGACACCACAUCAUAAGAGAAAUGGUUUGAAGAAUCUAGAAUAUUAACUAAGAAAGAGACCUCUCAAAAGAGACAUGAUGCCAUGACCACCACAUUUCACUAUCAAAAGAGUUACCUGCAAGAAGUGGGACAGCACUUCCUAAAGACGGAGCUAUAGCCAUUGGGUAAAAAUUGCAAAGGAG
rnacentral:lncRNA from 1 species